rnacentral:rRNA from 1 species
UGGGGAAUUUUGGACAAUGGGCGAAAGCCUGAUCCAGCAAUGCCGCGUGUGUGAAGAAGGCCUUCGGGUUGUAAAGCACUUUUGUCCGGAAAGAAAUCCUUGGCUCUAAUACAGUCGGGGGAUGACGGUACCGGAAGAAUAAGCACCGGCUAACUACGUGCCAGCAGCCGCGGUGAUACGUAGGGUGCAAGCGUUAAUCGGAAUUACUGGGCGUAAAGCGUGCGCAGGCGGUUUGCUAAGACCGAUGUGAAAUCCCCGGGCUCAACCUGGGAACUGCAUUGGUGACUGGCAGGCUAGAGUAUGGCAGAGGGGGUAGAAUUCCACGUGUAGCAGUGAAAUGCGUAGAGAUGUGGAGGAAUACCGAUGGCGAAGGCAGCCCCCUGGGCCAAUACUGACGCUCAUGCACGAAAGCGUGGGGAGCAAACAGGAUUAGAUACCCUGGUAGUCCACGCCCUAAACGAUGUCAACUAGUUGUUGGGGAUUCAUUUCCUAGUAACGUAGCUAACGCGUGAAGUUGACCGCCUGGGGAGUACGGUCGCAAGAUUAAAACUCAAAUGAAUUGAC